rnacentral:sRNA from 1 species
CUUUCCUAGUUUUCCCUGCUUACUCAUCUUUCUCAUACUGCUGGCUCAUGUACCGAACGAGGCCCGAGAAGGUGGCGAGCAUGCUGACCAGGGCAUGUAUAAAUAGCUCGAGGGAGACGUGUGGUCGGUAAGAACAGUGGUUUGAACUUGCAAAAGCAUGUGACGACAACGGACGAAGGCUUCGACUACAGCCAAGAACUCUUUUUCGUUGGUCGGGUAGUUCAACUGAGCACCGGUAAAACGACCAGACUCAAUAGCCACUGGAUGCUCGAGCUGAGUGGCGGGAUUGAGUUGGGAGAUGACAAAACCCCAACCGAAGAACGGUCUGGAGAAUUGUAGGAUAUGACGGAUUGUAAUGUGCGAGAGUUGGGGCGGAAACAAGAUGAGCUUUGAGGGUGUCGAAGGCUUGUUGUUGGUCGGGACCCCAAGAGGGAGGCGAGAAGGUAGAGAGAUGACUAGAGAGAGACCAC